rnacentral:lncRNA from 1 species
AUGAAAUCCAUCAGUGUUGCAGCGGAAGAAGAAGAAAUGGAGAUUUUAUUGGAAAGGAGUGGAGUAGAGGUGGGAAGGACUUACCCUGGGGAUCGCUGGAUCACAUCGAAGACUCCUAUCAACCGUAAGAUUUUUCUUUUGUUGGAAAUAUCUUCCUUAAAAAAUUUAUGUCCUAUAUUUGAGCCAAUCCAGAGUAUAACAUGUGGUUAUAUUAAUUACACACCUGCAAAUAGUCACCUAACAAACACUCAGCUAAUUCAAUUUAGUGACAAGAGUGCAGUUCCCAGCAAGUGGCUCUUAAGGAGGUCUCAAGCCAUUGGUGGCUGUGACUACAGGGUGAGUUAGGAAGGUCAAAAGGAAAGUGGUAUCCUAGUUUCUGAGGUGGUCAUGGGCAACCAGUGUAGAGCACACUUCAAAAUACGCGCCACAACUCCUUUAGCUCUGUGAUAGCCUGUCACUUUUCUACGCCUCCUUCAUCACUCUCCCCUGGAAGACGUUUGACCCAUUAUAGCACAUGCUCGUUCAUUCACUUAUUCAUUCAUUUCCAAGCAGGUAUAAGUUGCAUUUCUUUUUAAAGCAAAAACAAUAGAAGCCGACUUUGACUAACUAUAUUUAAAAAGGGACGUAUUGGAAAAUCAACAAGGAGCUGAGUAACAAAGUUGUGGAAGUUUGCAGAUAGGACCACAUUUUUUAUCCACCCCCCAUAUCCAAACCCUCGCAAUGUGCCUUUGCAGCUCCUCCCAUCAAGGAGUAGGUGCCAGUUCCCAGCCUCUUGAACCUGGUCCUGUGGCCUGCUUCGGCCUGCCACGUCUGAGCCUAGGCCUCGGCAGUCUCAUAUGCUUCCACUCCCUCUCCUGGAAUUCUGCGCAGCUGCUUGCGAAUGCAUUCAGUGGAAAAUGAGACACGACGCAGGACCGAGAUAAUUCCACCGAGGGGAUGCUAGACCAGCCAGCUUCUAAUCCACCGAUGGCUGGCUGCAGAAGAUGUAUGAGCCAAUCCUUCCCAGACCAGGAGAGAGGCCCAGCUUAGCCAAGCGCAAGCUGCUGAGCUCCAGAAUUUUGAGAUGAAUAAAUGGGUAUUAUUUUAUGCUACUAUUUUUUUUGGGGGGGAUUAUUUGUUAUACAGCAAAAGUUCACUGGUACACAAGCCUCGAGAAGGAGAGAAGCCACGAGCUGGGUCUCUUGUGGUUCCUCCACCGAGCCACCACCAGAUGACACGGUUCCAUUUGCCUUUUAUUCUUUUUGAGCCCUGCCCGUUCCUGGGUAAAAGAAUUUGAUGGGUCCCUCUCAGGUCAGGGGCUCUCCUCCCUAGGACAGUGGUGGAGUCCUCGGGUUUAACAGCCUUGACCCAACUACAAGGAGUAGCGAACAGGCAGUUCCUUACAAAAGGGAGUGGAGACUGCUAUUUCCAAGAAAAGAGAAGAGGAGAGCCUAGGUAGGUAAAAUCCGGGUCUAUCUUAAGCUUUUACUUUGCGCGCUUUCUCAAGGAACGUAAGACACUCACCUUCCUCGAGGCCGUCUUGGUCUAAUGGAGGAGGCUGGCAAGCGGCGGUGACAGUGUGGUUACUCACUGGGGUCACCGAGGGACCAGAGGUGACUGAGAGCCUAGAGGGCGGACGUCUAACCCAGACCCACUACCCGAAAAAAGAUUCCUGGUGGAGACAACCUCGGAACUGAGCUCUGUGAGAUGCCUACUGAGCCAGGGGAAGAGGCAAGAGUGGCGAGCAGCACUGAGGUCCUGCAAGGCGCUUAGAGUGGCCUGAGUGAGAACCUAGAGUCGGAGUUUUAAACUUGUCACCCUGGCCAAAAUUACAUAACACUUAUGCCUGGUGUGGCUCAACUUCUUUGGAGAGGAAAGAAAAAAAGAAUUCUUAAAAAACAACAACAACCCAAUUUCCACUAGUUUCUCCAUUGUUUUGCCUCCAUCCUUCAUAGACAGCCUGUGUGCUUGGUAAGGAAUGCAUGUCUUCUCCUCCAAGCAGUGGGGAGCUAUUGUAGGAAUGGAGCAAGGAGGGCAGUUAGGCUCAUAUUUGUAUUUCAAAAAAAUUGUGCUUACAGCAAAGAGAAGAAAGAUGGCAAAGGGCAAGAGAGGAGGCAGGGAGGCCAACGGGGGAGCUGUUGUUUUCUUGACAAGGAGUAAUGGCUUCAACUAAAGGGGGUGGAAUGAGGACGUGGCGAGGACGGGAUGGACCUUUUGGUAAUAUCCUCAAAGGAUAUAUGAAGACACCAGUUGCUUCUAUCUUUAAAACUACUGUUGUUCCCUUAGAGACAUAGUGAAAAAGGGCUUUGUGUUUGAUAACAGAUCUUCCUUUAUGUGAGAUAAGACACACCUGUUAUGAAGAAAUUGGUGAUAAGCUUACAAGAUGCCAAAAAAAUCCCUCCUUGUUCUUGUUUAGAAAAACAAACAGCGCUCCUUGGAUCCACGCAACCUGCAAGAGAACCAAACAGUCUCCACACCCACUUAGAGCCAUGGUGUGAGACAGAGGGCUGUCAAAGGCCAGCCCUGAACUAGAACCAGAUGGGAGAAGAUUCAUGCCAGAGACCAUCAUCCAAACCUCUUGAUUUCCAGUGAUCAGCAGUUGAGUGUUCAGAGAAAGUGCAUUUGAUGGCUUAGUCACAACUGGAUCAACUGAAAUAACAAUGCAAGGAGGUAUCUGCCCCUGGGGGGAUGAGAGGAACAGCUGCCAAGUGAUCCUUGCUAGACUUCUGCGGAGGGGAGGAGGGGGAAGGGGUGGUAUCUUUGCUCAAAAGGGUUGGACAGAAAGCAAAAAAAAAAAAAAAAAAAAGAUUGAUUUGAAGUUUUCUCUUUUAAUAUGAUGGAGGAGGCUUGGAGAGUAGAUGCAGAUGCAGCUCUCCAGGGUGUGUGCAAGUGGAAGAUAAAAAAUACGCAUUUACAGUGGAAAGUAUAUUUCUGUUAUCACUUAAAAGAACUUGAUAUUUAAAAAGUAUCAGUAAUUUGUUUAGUAGGUCACAUGUUUGUUAGGAGCAUGGAAAGUCACAGCAGACUUCCCAUGGUUGGGAAGUUCAGACAUUUGCAUUGAAAAAUGCCAACAGCAAUACAAGGAAUAGAGGCUGAUGGCAAUCAGGAUCUGGUGGUGUUGGUGAAGGGGGGGGGGUGCCUAAGGAGGGCAAUUUGAUAAUGAAACCCAAUUUGAGACUUGUUUUUUUUCUCUAAAUGAUACCAUUGCAUUGCAGAGCUUCUCUGACGUGACUGAAAGAAGACUUUGUACGUGUACAGCUUGUUCUCCUCAGGCCACGCUGCCUCCACAAUGUGUGCUCCACGCAUUAUUUGUUUUUCAUAAAUCUUGAAAUAUGUUGUCAAUUGCAUGAUUUUAUUGUAUUGUGGUUUUGCACAUGUGUUUAUUUUUUCAUUUAUUUUUUUAGAAAGAUUUUAUUCAUUCAUUUAUGAAAGACACUCAGAGAGAGGCAGAGACACAGGCGGAGGGAGCAGCAGGCUCCCCAUGGAAAUCCCAAUGUGGGACUCGAAUCUGGGAAUCACGCUCUGAGCCGAAGGCAGAUACUCAACCGCUGAGCCACCCAGGCGUUCUGUGUAUGUGUUUAAAACACUGAUUUGUUAAAUAUAACAUCUCAAAUAUUUUAUAUGUUUUAUAAUCCCAUUUUUCCACUUUUCUAUUUUUAUUUUACCUUUUUUAUUAAAUGAGGCAGCUCCAGAAAAUGGAAGUCCAUCUGUCCUCUCUUGGCAGCGGAGAGCUCCUGGUUUCAAUGCAGGAAAUGUUAGGGCACUCUCUGAUUAAUUCCCAAAUAAUAGUGGCUGCUCCUUAUCAAAGACCUAUUAUAAGCCAGUUACUUUACCCAUAUCCUUUAAAAUUAAAAACAAAUUGAAAUAAAUGCAUCAGAGCAGACACUAUAGAAAAGUCAAAUGAGGAAGAAAAUAAGUACUUGCAAUGUAAGUACUGCAGGAAAUCCCAUCCCUGGCGAUCCCUGUUAAGGGGUCUUUCUACCAUAUUGUCUCAGAGUCAUGAUGUCGCAGAGAUGGAUGAAGGGUCAGCGCUGCCUUGCUCCAGACAAUGGAGCUGAGCGUGGCAGAAAGGUAAGGAAGACACUUUAAGGGACCUGAAGUCGGAGACAUCUCUAGAGUACUGGGCACAGUUCCCUUUUUUUUUUUUUUUUCUUUAAGUAGGUGAGGCUUGAACUCAUGACCCUGAGAUCAAGACCCAAACAGGGAUAGAGUUAGAUGCUUGACUGAGACACCCAGGUGCCCCUGGACACUGCUCCUUGACAAGGAAAUAUAACUCUGAGGUGUC